rfam:Arthrobacter sp. Leaf234 contig_1, whole genome shotgun sequence.
CGAUCUGCAGCGGGAGAGUCCUCCCGUCCACCACACCGGCAGGCGCCGUAGGAGCAACUCCUCCCCAGGAAUCUCUCAGGCCAAUGCACCGCUGCGGCUAG